AGUGAACGCUGGCGGUAGGCCUAACACAUGCAAGUCGAACGGCAGCACAGUAAGAGCUUGCUCUUACGGGUGGCGAGUGGCGGACGGGUGAGGAAUACAUCGGAAUCUACUUUUUCGUGGGGGAUAACGUAGGGAAACUUACUCUAAUACCUCAUACUACCUACGGGUGAAAGCAGGGGAUCUUCGUACCUUGCGCGAUUGAAUGAGCCGAUCUCGGAUUAGCUAGUUGGCGGGGUAAAGGCCCACCAAGGCGACGAUCCGUAGCUGGUCUGAGAGGAUGGUCAGCAAAACUGGAACUGAGACACGGUCAAGACUCCUACGGGAGGCAGCAGUGGGGAAUAUUGGACAAUGGGCGAAAGCCUGAUCCAGCAAUACCGCGUGGGUGAAGAAGGCCUUCGGGUUGUAAAGCCCUUUUGUUGGGAAAGAAAAGCAGCAGGUUAAUACCCCGCUGUUCUGACGGUACCCAAAGAAUAAGCACCGGCUAACUUCGUG
rnacentral:rRNA from 1 species